AGUGAACGCUGGCGGCAGGCCUAACACAUGCAAGUCGAGCGGCAGCGGGUCCUUCGGGCUGCCGGCGAGCGGCGGACGGGUGAGGAAUACAUCGGAAUCUGCCCUGUCGUGGGGGAUAACCUAGGGAAACUUAGGCUAAUACCGCAUACGACCUACGGGUGAAAGCGGGGGAUCGCAAGACCUCGCGCGACAGGAUGAGCCGAUGUCCGAUUAGCUAGUUGGCGGGGUAAAGGCCCACCAAGGCGACGAUCGGUAGCUGGUCUGAGAGGAUGAUCAGCCACACUGGGACCGAGACACGGCCCAGACUCCUACGGGAGGCAGCAGUGGGGAAUAUUGGACAAUGGGCGCAAGCCUGAUCCAGCCAUGCCGCGUGGGUGAAGAAGGCCUUCGGGUUGUAAAGCCCUUUUGUCCGGGAAGAAAUCGUCUGGGCUAAUACCCCGGGCGGAUGACGGUACCGGAAGAAUAAGCACCGGCUAACUUCGUG
rnacentral:rRNA from 1 species